GUCGAGCGAGAUCUUCGGAUCUAGCGGCGGACGGGUGAGUAACGCGUGGGAACGUGCCCUUCUCUACGGAAUAGUCCCGGGAAACUGGGUUUAAUACCGUAUACGCCCUUCGGGGGAAAGAUUUAUCGCUGUUUGAGGGUCCUGCGUUCGAUUAGCUAGUUGGUGAGGUAACGGCCCACCAAGGCGACGAUCGAUAGCUGGUCUGAGAGGAUGAUCAGCCACACUGGGACUGAGACACGGCCCAGACUCC
rnacentral:rRNA from 1 species